rnacentral:rRNA from 1 species
GACAGAGGGUGCAAACGUUUGUUCGGAAUUACUGGGCGUAAAGCGCGUGUAGGCGGCAGGGUGUGUCGGAUGUGAAAUCCCGUGGCUCAACCACGGAAGUGCACCCGAAACUACCCCAGCUCGAGUCUCGGAGAGGAAGGUGGAAUGCUUGGUGUAGAGGUGAAAUUCGUAGAUAUCAAGCGGAACACCGGUGGCGAAGGCGGCCUUCUGGACGAUGACUGACGCUGAGACGCGAAAGCGUGGGGAGCAAACAGG